rnacentral:lncRNA from 1 species
GGGAGAGGUUAUUUCCCCACCGUGUUCAGGGACAACCCUGUGAUCAUGGUUUUGGUCACAUAGCUUCCAAGUGAGUGUUGUGCAAACAUUUGCUAGGAUCUCUCGGGGAGCCUGUUAGAAAAGAAACUCCUGAGCCUGCUCCAGAGCUUCUGUUCAGCAGGCCUGAGGUGGGACCAUACACCUGUCUUUUCAGCAAGCCCCCCCCCACCUCUGAGGAUGCACCCCAAAGCUAGAGAAUUCCUGCUCUGAGCCAUCUCUGAAAGCACCAAGAGCCAGCUCACGGAGGAGAUGCCAGCUCACGGAGGAAAAUCUGGAAGGUGUUGAAGCAUAGACGCUGGAACAUAAAAUGACUCAUGAUCUCACUGGGAGAAGGGCUGGGAACAUCGUGGGCUCUCUUCUCCCCGCGCUCCUCUCUCCGGGUCUCUGUUUCCCUCAUUCCACGAUGUUUAGAACCAUCGGCGCACUACAUCAGACUAGAGGUCUGGGGUCACCCGACCAUCCCGCCACAAGCCCCUCCGAGGCAUCACUGUGUCCAGAUUUUGCAAACUGCACCUCCUGAAGGGGCUGGGGUCUGUCCACUUCGCCCCAUCUGCCGUGGCAGCACUUCCUCCGUGGUUCGCACCCCCACAGCAGCCUCCUGGGAAGGCACCUCCCUGGGGCCCCUCUCAGUCCACGGUGUGGAUAUGGUGAGUUCUUAAACCAUGAACUUCUGAUUUCACAGCUCUGCUUGAAGCCUUCAAUGUCAGGCUUCCUGUUGCUCUUAAGAUAAUGAUCAAAACUCUCAACAAAGUUCCCCUGAUAAAUGCUCUCAACGUGCCCCCCACCACAGCAUCCCUAACUGUAAUGAAUACAUCAUUGGUCCUCACGGCAGCGGAUUAAUCGUCUGUGAGUGUUGGUUUAAUCUUUCUCUUCUGGAGUUUAGCUGUCACUGCCAUAUCCCCAGCACGGAGCACAAUGACAUGUUUAUAUGUAGAAAAUUGAGCGAAAAAUAAAAACAGCUAACAUUUGGGUACUUAUUAUCUUCCAGGCAGCAAGCUAUGCAUUUUGCAUAUAUUAGCAAAUCCAUGAGGCAGGUGCUGUCUUCAUUGUACAGAGGUCAGGAAGAUUCCUGCAGCUGCUGAGUUAGUACUUUUAAGAAAGUACUGGAUUCCCUCUCACAAUGGGACUUUGAUUUUUUUAAGAAAAAGGUUUCAUAAGUUUUCAAAUAACCUGGAGCAGUUGAGCAAACUUAAUGUGCAGCGUGGUCCCUGCUGGCUGGGUUUGAGGGGCUGGGUCUCUCUGAGUGGAUGCUGGUGAGGUGCAGAGGAAGAAGAAAAGGUGCCUGAGGGCCUGUGUGGAAGGCCUGUCACACAGCACAUCCUGGGAAAUCUGUCCAGGAAGCAGCCAGGCGGGCAUCAGCCAGGCGGGCAUCAGCAUCUUCACUGUGCAGAUGAGAAACUGAGGCCGCAGAGGUGAAGGGACAUGCCCAGGAUCACUAAGCAGCGUUUCAGCAUCUCUAUAAAACCCUCACAGUCCUAAUAACAUGCAUGCCAAAAUCCUGCUGUCCCAGCCUUUGGUUCCAGCAGUUUGACUUCUGGAAGUCUUUCCCAAGGAAAUAACCUUGAACCCACGGUGUCUGCUGUAGCAUUCUUCAUAAGAGUGACUGCAAACAACCUCUAAGCCCCAAAUCAUGUAUUGGUUAAAAAAAUAAUGAUUCCUUUUCUUGCUUUAACUCAGGUGAUCCCUAGAAACACAGCCAGUGGCCCGGAAGCUGCACUGUUUUGUGCACCGCAGGGAUGGGCACAGAUGGGGCUGCCUGCCCUCCUCCUGGAAGGAGGGAGAACCCAGUCUGGCCUGGAGUGGUCAAGAGCUAACUCUAGACUCAGCAAGACCUACUUCUCUCUCCUGCCCCUACUUCCUUGCUGCUGACCUGGGCAAGUCGCUGAAGCCUCUCCGUGCCUCAGUCUGCUCGUGCGUAAGAUGGGCACAGGGCACACUGCCUACUUGAUUGGGCUCAACCACGUGCAGUAAGUAGCUGGUGUCUGGCAAGAGCCCUCAGGAAACAGUAACCCCAUUAAUUCAAAUGCACGUGCCUGGAACAGGCUCUGGGGGGCCAGCCCGGGAGUCCCACUCCAUGAUGGCCACCCUGGGGCCUGGCAGGCUGGGCUGGCAUCCCAGGCCCACCGGAUACUGGCUGUGCACCCCGGCCAGGCCACACAUCUCUGAGCCUCACUUUCCCGUGUGUGAGAUGAGGCUAGAAGCUGCUUUCUCUUGCGUGUGUGGGGAUUGGCGGUGACAACACGGCCAGGAGCCCAGGCCCAGCCUACGCGAGCAGCCUCGCUCCAGGCCACACGCCCCACUCCUGACAGCUCUGUGCAGCGAGUUCGUGCGCGAGCGGGUGGCUGUCUGCCAGGCGAGGGGCGCGGGUGCCCAAGAGGGCUUCACUGCUUCUGGAAAGAUCACAAGGAAAAACCACCUCCGCGGCGGGACGCUACCCGCGGGCCGCUGCGGUCCCGCUCGCGGCCGGCAGGGGGCAGGAUGUCCCCGCGAGUCGCCCGUGUCUUCGGGUGUCCUCAGGUCACCCCGCACCGCUCGCAGCCUCCGCGCCUAGUUAAAGGGCGACGCACUCAUUUCUGCAAAGAAGGAGCCCAGCGGCCCCUCCCCGGGGAACUCUUUCCAUCAACUCGGGGCCUAAUAAUUUACAUUUAAUUUGUUAGCGGUUUAAUGUUUAAUUUUAAAAGCGAGAUGAUUCAUUACCAUAUUAAUAAAUAAUAACAUUUAUUAUUCUCCUAAUGAGUGUCCAAAAUACAGAAGCAAUUACAUGUUUUAUAUAUUUUCUCGUAAUUUGAGACACCAGAGCGUUAAUUACAGAGACUCACGCGUGGACCCCAUUCUGAUCCAGGGUCCUGAUCCUGCCUUUGUUUCGGUCUCUGAACCAGCCGCCCUCCGGGGCUUCUGCAAUUCCCUCAAUUAGAGGAGAGGAAGUCGUACGUGACGAAGCUGGGGCUCUCACAGAACCCCGGCGCCCCAGACCCAGGAGCUGCAAGACCUCAGCUCCCCGUGCCCACACUCGGAGACCCAGGCCCCUCCCAGUCCCCCGUCUCCUCUGUGCAGGGUUCUUCAGGAAGAAUCGGAAAGAGGCCCCCCGACCCACAACCAGCCUCGCAUUCCCUCCUCCCGCAGGGAUCCAUUGAGCUGGGGGGUGGGACUAUCCUCACUUCACAGAUGGGGAAACUGAGUCCUGGAGAGAGACGCUCCGGUGUCCUCAGCUGGUGAGGGGCAGAUCCGGGAGCCACGUCCCACGCAGUCGGUUGGCCCCAAGCUUGGUUCCUGCCUCAACCCCAGCGCAGGUUGCAGCAGGCCCGCGUAGGAGGGCGGCCUGGGUCUGGACAGAUCCACAGCCGGCCAACGCCCCUGGCUAGCUCUCUAUGGCUUUGCUUCUUCUCUUGACUUGCCAAGUUCUUCUUGUUCAUUGUAGAAAAUGUGGAAGGUGAGGCCGGGAGCGGUGGCUCACGCCUGUAAUCCUAGCACUUUGGGAGGCCGAGGCGGGCAGAUUGCCUGAGCUCAGGAGUUCGAGACCAGCCUGGGCAACAUGGUGAAACACGUCUCUACUAAAAAAAAAAAAAAAAAAAAAAAAAAAAUUUGCUGGGCGUGACGGCAGGCGCCUGUAGUCCCAGUGGGAGUUUGGGGAGGCUGAGGCAGGAGAAUCACUUGAACCCGGGAAGCAGAGAUUGCAGUGAGCCGAGAUCGUGCCACUGCACUCCAAUCUAGCGACAGAGCAAGACUCCGUCUCAAAAAAAAAAAAAAAAAAAAAAGUGGAAGGUGAAAAAAACACGGAGAGACAGCAAAGCUGGCAAUGACAUAGCUCCAAAAAUCCCACUUCUCAGAUAAGAUGCAGGCAGUAAGGGCCUGGAGUUUUAUGUAUCCUGAUGUUUGAAAGGGCUUGGACAGGGCACUUCCUCCCUCCAUAGCUCUUCUGUCCUUAGGAAUCCCUCCCUUCUGGAGGGGAAGGGUGGGGGUUUUCCUGUUUGGUCCCCAGGGAAGGAAGUUCAGAGACAGAGGCCCACUCAGGGCCACCCCCUGGCCUGCACCCCUGAAAUGCAAUUUGGAUAAUAUGGAAAAUUACUAGGAAGAAAAAACGCUAUAAUCCCCCCACCUAGAGAUAACCAGGCGUUCUGGUAUAUACCUAUUGAGGACUUUUUUCCCAAGCAAAUACUCAGAAAGAGACUUCCUCCCAAUAGGCAUGAGAUCUUACUCCACGUGCAGUUUGUCUUAUCUUGAUUUUUUUCCAGUAAUCUUUUAAGAGUUUCCCAUGCCAUGUAGUCAUUCUUCAAAAACCCACUUUGAACAGCUGCGUAAUAUUCCGCUGUGGAGGAGUGCCCUGCAGUGUAGAGAAAUGAGUUAUUUACGCUGAAGUCUGUUAUUACAUGGACAUCUUCCCUUUUCUGACCCUGCAAUGACCACACUCAUAGGUGAGUCUCUCUGGAAAUCCUUGACUACCUCCUUAGGGUCCAUUCUUAGAAGUGGAAUUACUGGGUUAGAGGGCAUGAGUGCCUUGAGGGCGGCUGUCUCCCUCUACCUGCAUGCCUGCCAGGGCAAACCCGUGCAUGCUCCCAGGACAGGCCUGGCAGGGCGUGUCUCCCUGCUGCACCCUUGGUACCCUUGGCAGGGCUAACAUUAUCCUCUAAACCAGGUCUUUGCAGCACUUACCCUUUUCAAGGUGCUACUGUACCUCUCCUUUAAGGAG